rnacentral:rRNA from 1 species
UCGCCCUUCGGUUGAUCCUGCCGGAGGCUACCGCUAUUGGAGUUCGAUUAAGCCAUGCGAGUCGCGAGAAAUUAGAUUCUCGGCGUACCGCUCAGUAACACGUGGGUAACCUGCCCUAUGCUGGGGAAUAACCUCGGGAAACUGAGAAUAAUGCCCCAUAGUUCACCACACCUGGAACGGUGGGUGGAUGAAAGCUCCGGCGGCAUAGGAUGGGCCUGCGGCGUAUCAGGUUGUAGGGGGUGUAAUGUACCCUCUAGCCAUCUACGCGUACGGGUGUUGGGAGACAUAGCCCGGAGAUGGAUUCUGAGACACGAAUCCAGACCCUACGGGGUGCAGCAGGCGCGAAAACUUGGCAAUGCGAGCAAUCGUGACCAGGGAACUCCAAGUGCAUCGGGUAAGACCGAUGCUUUUCUUGACUCUUCAAAGGUCUUGGAAUAAGGGGUGGGUAAGGACGGUGCCAGCCGCCGCGGUAAUACCGGCGCCUCAAGUGGUAGUCGCUUUUAUUGGGCCUAAAACGUCCGUAGCCGGUCUGAUACAUUCGUGGGUAAAUCAACCAGCUUAACUGAUUGAAUUCUGCGAGCACGGCCAGACUUGGGACCGGGAGAGGUGUGGGGUACGCUCAGGGUAGGGGUAAAAUCCUGUCAUCCUGAGCGGACCACCUGUUGCGAAGGCGCCACACUAGAACGGAUCCGACGGUCAGGGACGAAGCCUAGGGGCACGAACCGGAUUAGAUACCCGGGUAGUCCUAGGUGUAAACGCUGUGGACUUGGUGUUGGGAGUGCUCCGAGCGCCCUCAGUGUCGAAGCGAAGGUGAUAAGUCCACCGCCUGGGAAGUACGUACGCAAGUAUGAAACUUAAAGGAAUUGGCGGGGGGGCACCACAAGGGGGGAAGCCUGCGGUUCAAUUGGAGCCAACGCCAGAAAUCUUACCCGGAGAGACAGCAGAAUGAAGGUCAAGCUGAAGACUUUACCAGACAAGCUGAGAGGUGGUGCAUGGCCGUCGCCAGCUCGUGCCGUGAGAUGUCCUGUUAAGUCAGGUAACGAGCGAGAUCCCUGCCUCUAGUUGCCACCAUUACUCUCAGGAGUAGUGGGGCGAAUUAGCGGGACCGCCGCAGUUAAUGCGGAGGAAGGAAGGGGCCACGGCAGGUCAGUAUGCCCCGAAACUCUGGGGCCACACGCGGGCUGCAAUGGUAAUGACAAUGGGUUCCGAAUCCGAAAGGAGGAGGUAAUCCCCAAACAUUACCACAGUUAUGACUGAGGGCUGCAACUCGCCCUCACGAAUAUGGAAUCCCUAGUAACUGCGUGUCAUUAUCGCGCGGUGAAUACGUCCCUGCUCCUUGCACACACCGCC